ensembl:lncRNA
CUUCUUAAGCACCCACACGUGAGCUCUGUGUCACCUCCCCCACCCUGGGUUUUAUGGGCAUGCCUGGCACCACCCACUUGUUGGCCAGCUGGCCGUAAACACGUCACUUCUUUCUGUGCAGUGUUUCACAAGUGGCACAGCUGUCCUGACUUCGCAUCGUCCCCCUUCAGACCCUGAAAUCCUUGUGCAAUUUGCCAAUGGAGCGAACCCAACCCAUUUUUUUUUCCUCAAAGCUCCUCCUGGUUGCCUUCAUCUUGCAGCCGAAGCUACAUUUCUUUAGCAAGAUGCACUUAGCCACAUCCUUUCUGAAUGUUUGGAAAUGUCCAGGAAGAAACUGAGCACAGCCAGCAUUUUCUUCCAGUGCUGUCUUCCCCUGUGGACAGGACAGUCAUAACUGUGUCUUGGCCUCUGUCAUGGGCAAGAAGAAACCCUGGGUGGUGUCACUCAGAGUCAUAGAAUGGUUUGGUUUGGAAGAGACCACAAAGCCCACCCAGUCCCAAUCCCCUACCAUGGGCAGGGCUGCCCCCCACCAGCUCAGCUGCCCAGGCCCCAUCCAACCUGCCCUUGAGCACCUCCCACAGUGGGGCACCUACAGCUCUCUGGGCAGCUCUGCCAGCACCUCACUGCCCUCCUAGGAAGGAGCUCUGUCAGACCAGCAGGGAUGUGCGUGUGAAAGUGGCACCGGAGGACUCAGCAUGCAAGUAAUCCUGCAGCUCAGGCAAAGCACGGGUGGGCGUAAAUCCCAUGUCCAGAUUAACAUUCCUGCCACUCACAAAAUAUGCCGGGAGCUUGCUGGGGCUUUUAAACACACCUGCGAGUGGCAAGUUAAAUUUGACCAUGGCUUACUUAUCUGACACGGCUUAAGAAUGUUCAGCAAUUUUGACAAAUCAAAUCAUUUAAAACGUUCUCAAAAAUGGGAGUUUACCCAUGCCAUUGCCUUUUAGGGCAGCUCUUUGUAUGUUCAGCCUUACUUUUAUCUGUAGAAGAUAGGUAAGUACCAUCUGGAAGGGGGCUAUAGCUGGGAAAUUAAAUGAAGAUGUUAAUUCCCUGAUUGGAUGAAAAAAAAAUAAUAAUAAUACAAUUCUGUUAUCAAAACAGGAUACAAUGUCAGGAAAUGGCCAACCAAAUAUUGUUGGUGCCAACAAGACUGUGAUUGUUCGUGACCUGGAAGCGCUGCAGCCAGGGGCCGUCCCACGGCCUGGGUGCCCCUCCCCGGUGAGGAGGAGGCAUCGCUGCUCUCCCUUUCUUCUCCCUGGGAAACCUAAAAAUAUCCCAGGACACAGCAGCAUCUGUUCUGUAAUUCUCCUGGGAAAAGAGAGGAAGAUUCACACACCAGUGAAAUGCGAGCGCAGGAACUCGACCUCAGCAAAGGGAAAAGAUGAAAGAGAAAGUGGGUACAAUGUGUUUCAGUGUUCCUACGUUGUCAGCAUGAGGAGGCAGGCCGGAAGCAUUUCGGUUGUCCUUUGUAGGAAAGUUAGAUAGAAAGGACCAGCUGAGGCUUUUUGGAACUGCAGGAACAGUAUGGCUGGCUUGGAGAGUCAGAACACUUUUUGCUUCAGAGCUCUUUCAGACUGUGGAUAUUGAUAAGGGGCAGAUGCAGCUCAGUGUCUGUGAGGGAGCCCCUUGUGCCUGUGCCAUGAUGCCAUUCCUCCUGUGCCUCAGUGCGUCACACGGAGACCCACAAUGAAGGUCCAUUCAGAGGUCCUAGCACACAGGUGACAUUUGCAGCUAGAGCUUUCCUUCAGCAGCAGGAUCACACAGUGCCUGUCAGGCUACGGGGGCUGUGGUGAUGGACAAGAAACCUGUUAGCACCAUCUCCAGCAAGUUUGCAGCUGGCACCAAGCUGAGGGGUGCGGUUUAUAGGCUGGAGGGAAAGGAUGGCAACCAGAGGGACAUAGAGAGGCUUGAGGAGUGGGCCUGCACUAACCUCAUGGCGUUCAACAGGGCUGAGUGCACGAUUACCAAGAAAAGGCACUGAGGCUUUUGAAAAGAACCAUUGAAGUGCAUGUGUCUCCUUGCUGGAGUCCUGCUGCAAAGAACUGACGCUGUUCUAGAUGUCUGGGGUGUCUUAAUUCACCCAGAUAUUAUAGCAAUUUAAAGUUGAAUUGGGGUUAGUACUGAUUAAACACUUUCUGUCUCUAAAGUUGCCGCGUUAAAACAAAGAAAAUUAUGGUAAUUUUAUGGGCUGCUGUCUUUUGUCAGACUUGAUGAACGGUGAAGUAUUUGAAAGGAUAAGCAGGUUAAAGGGUCCUAUGUGACUUCUUAGAAAACCCUGGGAGGAUAUUAUGUACGUUUCCAUUUCAAAGAAUAUCACCUGGUGUCCAGGCUAGUUAAAUCUCUCAGAAAGUGAAUUCUUACUUACCAUUAAAUUGGUUAAGAUUUACACCAACUAAAGACAAGAGGAUAAAGGAUCCCAUUGGUGGGGCUGGAAAUCUCCCUACAAAGGUAGUUACCCUCCAGUCGCUGGUACCGUGUGUUAAGUUUCUCUCUCCAGACUUUAUUAUGGAAGAUUAAACGCAAAAAUCAAGUUUGACAUCGACUGCAGGCCUCUGCUGAAGGUGUCUUCUUAGACAGAAAGCUUGUGCUUACAUUGUGCUGUGAUUAGCUGGGUUUUGUUGUGGGUCAUACGUAGCUUCAACUGUUUAACACACUGCACAUAGCGAGUAAAAUUCUGCCUGUAGAAAUGUCUCUGGGCAUUGACUUAAGUCACAGCCAACAACUUAAUGAGGCCAGGAGUUCAUUUACUUUACAUUGCUUUGUUGACACAUGCUAAAUAUAUAUAAAUGUAAUGUUAUUACAGCGUGUAUGUGUAAUGUGGUCAUGCUGAAAUGCCUCACAGCCUGUCAGCGUCAGCUGUUGGCAUUUCCUGCCUGUCUGUAUCUCAGUUUAAUGCCUUGAUACUCCCUAGAAUCAUUUUAUAAUCUUGCAAUUAAUUUCCGAAGAAAAAAACCUAAAACCAUGGAAGUCAUCACCUCACUGGUUUCCAGUGUACUUUGGAUUUACCCACGUGGAGUUUCCAAAUGUAGCUGCCUACUUAGUUCUGCCAGCAGAAUUUAUCUGCAAUUCAUCCGGAUAAAGAAGAGCUUGCUCAGAUAUUUGCAAAAGAACGCUUCUAACUGGAUCAAGGUAUAGCAGCUGAUGUUCAGAGACACCGUUCAAGGAAGAACAAGAACAUUUUCUGGCAUUUACACUGGCCAAUUCCAGGAGGACUCUCCUCUCAAAAUCAAACUCUGGUUUCUUUCCCAGGAAGUUUUCUUUAGAUAAGAGGCAUUCAAUCCCAUAUCAUGUGAAAUAUUUACUGGAAAUUAGUGUGUAAGCCUUAUUUUAUCCACUCGCUUUCACUUAACAUUAUAUGUGUGUACAUAUAUCUCUUAAUUUUGACAGCUGUGCAAAGAUCUCUUUUUUUUUUUAUUUUUCCUCUUUCUUCCCAGUAGACUUUGCAUGAACAACCCUUGUGACUACAGCUAAGUAUUUCAAUAGUCUGACUUUUCUGCAGGCCUUUUGUAUUCCAGCCACUCCAUUCUGGUUGCAAAUAAAUCAGAUAUUACAGCUUAAGGCAA